GACGAACGCUGGCGGCGUGCUUAACACAUGCAAGUCGAACGCUGAAGCCGUCUUCGGGCGGUGGAUGAGUGGCGAACGGGUGAGUAACACGUGGGUAAUCUGCCCUGUACUCUGGGAUAAGCCUGGGAAACUGGGUCUAAUGCCGGAUAGGACACGCUACCGCAUGGUGGUGUGUGGAAGGCUUCGGCGGUACAGGAUGAGCCCGCGGCCUAUCAGCUAGUUGGUGGGGUGAUGGCCUACCAAGGCGACGACGGGUAGCCGGCCUGAGAGGGUGACCGGCCACACUGGGACUGAGACACGGCCCAG
rnacentral:rRNA from 1 species